rnacentral:tRNA from 1 species
GGCCCCGUAGCUUAGCCUGGAGAUCCACUACCUUAUGCGAAUAAGGAUAGGUGUUGGGCAUUGGAGUGCUCGACUGAUAAUCGAGUGGUCGUGAGUUCAAAUCUCAUCGGGGCCA